AACGAACGCUGGCGGCAUGCCUAACACAUGCAAGUCGAACGAACUCUUCGGAGUUAGUGGCGCACGGGUGCGUAACGCGUGGGAAUCUGCCCUUGGGUACGGAAUAACUCAGAGAAAUUUGUGCUAAUACCGUAUAAUGUCUUCGGACCAAAGAUUUAUCGCCCAAGGAUGAGCCCGCGUAAGAUUAGCUAGUUGGUGGGGUAAAAGCCUACCAAGGCGACGAUCUUUAGCUGGUCUGAGAGGAUGAUCAGCCACACUGGGACUGAGACACGGCCCAGACUCCUACGGGAGGCAGCAGUGGGGAAUAUUGGACAAUGGGCGAAAGCCUGAUCCAGCAAUGCCGCGUGAGUGAUGAAGGCCUUAGGGUUGUAAAGCUCUUUUACCCGGGAUGAUAAUGACAGUACCGGGAGAAUAAGCUCCGGCUAACUCCGUGCCAGCAGCCGCGGUAAUACGGAGGGAGCUAGCGUUGUUCGGAAUUACUGGGCGUAAAGCGCGCGUAGGCGGUCUUUUAAGUCAGAGGUGAAAGCCCGGGGCUCAACCCCGGAAUAGCCUUUGAAACUGGAAGACUUGAAUCUUGGAGAGGUCAGUGGAAUUCCGAGUGUAGAGGUGAAAUUCGUAGAUAUUCGGAAGAACACCAGUGGCGAAGGCGACUGACUGGACAAGUAUUGACGCUGAGGUGCGAAAGCGUGGGGAGCAAACAGG
rnacentral:rRNA from 1 species